rnacentral:rRNA from 1 species
AUACGGAGGGAGCGAGCGUUGUCCGGAAUUACUGGGCGUAAAGGGCGCGUAGGCGGCGCUUCAAGUCGUCUGUCAAAUGGGAGGGCUUAACCCUUUUUCGCAGACGAAACUGGAGAGCUUGAGAAGCAGAGAGGCAAACAGAAUUCCUGGUGUAGCGGUGAGAUGCGUAGAUAUCAGGAAGAAUACCAGUGGCGAAGGCGGUUUGCUGGCUGCAUACUGACGCUGAAGCGCGAAAGCCAGGGGAGCAAACGGGAUUAGAUACCCCGGUAGUCCUGGCAGUAAACGAUGUAUGCUGGGUGUGAGACUAGCGAUAGUUUCGUGCCGAAGUUAACGCGAUAAGCAUACCGCCUGGGGAGUACGGUCACAAGAUUGAAACUCAAAUGAAUUGACGGGG